rnacentral:rRNA from 1 species
GUCGUGCUACCCGCAUCUGAAUAUAUAGGGUGCGGGAGGGAACGCGGGGAAGUGAAACAUCUCAGUACCCGUAGGAGGAGAAAACAAUUGUGAUUCCGCAAGUAGUGGCGAGCGAACGCGGAACAGGCUAAACCGCACGCAUGGGUAACCGGGUAGGGGUUGUGUGUGCGGGGUUGUGGGAGGAUAUGUCUCAGCGCUACCCGGCUGAGAGGCAGUCAGAAAGUGUCGUGGUUAGCGGAAGUGGCCUGGGAUGGUCUGCCGUAGACGGUGAGAGCCCGGUACGCGAAAACCCGGCACCUGCCUAGUAUCAAUUCCCGAGUAGCAGCGGGCCCGUGGAAUCCGCUGUGAAUCCGCCGGGACCACCCGGUAAGCCUAAAUACUCCUCGAUGACCGAUAGCGGAUUAGUACCGUGAGGGAAUGGUGAAAAGUACCCCGGGAGGGGAGUGAAAGAGUACCUGAAACCGUGUGCCUACAAUCCGUCAGAGCCUCCUUUUCCUCUCCGGAGGAGGGUGGUGAUGGCGUGCCUUUUGAAGAAUGAGCCUGCGAGUCAGGGACAUGUCGCAAGGUUAACCCGUGUGGGGUAGCCGCAGCGAAAGCGAGUCUGAAUAGGGCGACCCACACGCGCAUACGCGCGUGUGAAUAGUGGCGUGUUCUGGACCCGAAGCGGAGUGAUCUACCCAUGGCCAGGGUGAAGCGCGGGUAAGACCGCGUGGAGGCCCGAACCCACUUAGGUUGAAGACUGAGGGGAUGAGCUGUGGGUAGGGGUGAAAGGCCAAUCAAACUCCGUGAUAGCUGGUUCUCCCCGAAAUGCAUUUAGGUGCAGCGUUGCGUGGUUCACCGCGGAGGUAGAGCUACUGGAUGGCCGAUGGGCCCUACUAGGUUACUGACGUCAGCCAAACUCCGAAUGCCGUGGUGUAAAGCGUGGCAGUGAGACGGCGGGGGAUAAGCUCCGUACGUCGAAAGGGAAACAGCCCAGAUCGCCGGCUAAGGCCCCCAAGCGUGUGCUAAGUGGGAAAGGAUGUGCAGUCGCAAAGACAACCAGGAGGUUGGCUUAGAAGCAGCCACCCUUGAAAGAGUGCGUAAUAGCUCACUGGUCAAGUGAUUGUGCGCCGAUAAUGUAGCGGGGCUCAAGCACACCGCCGAAGCCGCGGCACAUCCACCUUGUGGUGGGUGUGGGUAGGGGAGCGUCCCUCAUUCAGCGAAGCCACCGGGUGACCGGUGGUGGAGGGUGGGGGAGUGAGAAUGCAGGCAUGAGUAGCGACAAGGCAAGUGAGAACCUUGCCCGCCGAAAGACCAAGGGUUCCUGGGCCAGGCCAGUCCGCCCAGGGUGAGUCGGGACCUAAGGCGAGGCCGACAGGCGUAGUCGAUGGACAACGGGUUGAUAUUCCCGUACCCGUGUGUGGGCGCCCGUGACGAAUCAGCGGUACUAACCACCCAAAACCGGAUCGAUCACUCCCCUUCGGGGGUGUGGAGUUCUGGGGCUGCGUGGGAACUUCGCUGGUAGUAGUCAAGCGAAGGGGUGACGCAGGAAGGUAGCCGUACCAGUCAGUGGUAACACUGGGGCAAGCCGGUAGGGAGAGCGAUAGGCAAAUCCGUCGCUCACUAAUCCUGAGAGGUGACGCAUAGCCGGUUGAGGCGAAUUCGGUGAUCCUCUGCUGCCAAGAAAAGCCUCUAGCGAGCACACACACGGCCCGUACCCCAAACCGACACAGGUGGUCAGGUAGAGCAUACCAAGGCGUACGAGAUAACUAUGGUUAAGGAACUCGGCAAAAUGCCCCCGUAACUUCGGGAGAAGGGGGACCGGAAUAUCGUGAACACCCUUGCGGUGGGAGCGGGAUCCGGUCGCAGAAACCAGUGAGGAGCGACUGUUUACUAAAAACACAGGUCCGUGCGAAGUCGCAAGACGAUGUAUACGGACUGACGCCUGCCCGGUGCUGGAAGGUUAAGAGGACCCGUUAACCCGCAAGGGUGAAGCGGAGAAUUUAAGCCCCAGUAAACGGCGGUGGUAACUAUAACCAUCCUAAGGUAGCGAAAUUCCU